UUUAGUGAUCUGGACCCAAAGAACCAAGGAUUUCACAACGCAGCUCAACACUUUUCCAGCCGUUAACAGUAUAAACAACUAGACAAGACAAACGUCAGAGAAAGCACACCAUAAUGCUACGAUCACGAUCUCUGCCCCUGGCUGGUUCCUGGCUGGUAUUCACUCCAAGAAAAAUGUUCCAAGAGGAGAAACGGAAGUGAAGAGGCGGCCACGUUUACACUCAGGCCCGGAUUGCUUUGCAUACUGGUCCUCAACAAAGUGCUUCAGCUCUUCUACAUUUCACCUGCAUCACCAAAUAUAGAAAUCUGGGAGCAGAGAAAGACCAUGCAGAUCCUAGAGGGCAACUCAUAAUUUUAUUGCUUCCUCAUGAAUAAGUGGAUUCCGUCUACCAUCUUCUUGAAACUGGGAGAGAUUUUGUGUUGCUUUAACUAAGAAAGCAGGGUGGAGGUGACACUGAGACUCCAGAGGCUAAGACUCAAAAAUGUGUUGGGAUUUCUGCUCCCUCUCUGGGAUGGCGGAGCUGGAAACCCAGACGCUGGGCUGUGAGGGAGCUGGAAACCCGGUUGCCAGGCUGUGAGGGAGCCCAGGCCUCAUAGGGAAAGCCAAGUUUCCCAUUCCUCUGUCCAGACUAGGCUCACGACCACAUCCUCCACAAACUUGCCAACUAUGUCAGUGAAUCAUCCCGAAAGCAGAUCCUUCAGUACUCAGUUAAGCAAACCCAACAAUUGCUGUAUGGAAGAGAGACGAGUC